UACCGGGCGCCGUACUGAGUGUAGCGGGCACCAAGCCACCCAUUUCUGCUUCUAAGGUGUGCACAGUCCUUGGAGGAGUCAGAAUAACAAAUUGACGUUUGCCCUAUCCCGGAACUGCUCUUCCUAAGGGAGUUGCACUUAUGAGAGCUCCCUCUAUUUACCAGCAGAGAGAACUGAGACUCAGAAAAAAUGGAGAAAGAGUAAGCACUAGCUCUGCUGCUGACGAGUCUGUAAUUGGGGCCCUCUGCCUCCUGGCCUUCUAUUCCUCAGAUGUAACACGAGGGGAUUGAGAGAGGUAAACUGAAGAAAGAUAUCACAGGUUCCAAGUGCCGUGCUUCAAGGAGGGUGAAAUAAGGGUGAACUUUAGGGAAAGUUUUCUGGAGUAGGUGGAAAUUGAUAGCCAAAGAAGAUGAAGAAUGUUUGGAAGACUUUCUGAGAAGGACAAUCAAAUAGGCUCACAUUAGUGAGCACAGUAUCUGGGGGUUCGGUGGGAAGUUGGAUCCUCUUUAAGUGGAUGGUCCAUGUUGUGUAGCUAGACUACGAAGAGCUGUGAAAACCAAGUCUAGAAAGAGUUGAUACUUGGUGCAGUGAUACUCAUCAUUGCACUUUCCUUUUGUUCCUUAAGUAUCAAUAUAAAAUAAGGUUCUCUUUCAAAUCAAUGAUUCUUAAUCCUUUCCCCUUCAUGACAUAUAUUCCUUUAUGCUCCACUCCAUGGGCAUUCCCUGGUCCUGAAGGUCAGGCUGCAGCAUAGAAUCCCAGCUAUUCACCAGCUUUAAUGUGUGCCCUUUGUAACCAAUCACAGCACAAUGUGCCUGGUCACCUCAGCUGAAAAACUGAUGAUUAAAUUCUAACAACCCUCUUGUGGUGGUGUUGGUAAGGAAGAGUCUAGUGGUAGGUGCCAGGAGUUGCAUUCGAGAGCGUUGGAACUACAGGGAGGAACAUUCUAACUGGCUAGUCCAGAAUCAGCAGACAAAUCCAGAUCAAAGAGUGAAGUGCAAGUACAAACUCUAACAUCAAGGAUUAUAUUCAGAUUCCAAGACUGGCCUCAGUACAGUCUGAAGGGUGAAAGGUGGUUCAGGACCAUGGAGAACGACACACAGGCUUCCCCUGCUUCAUGAUCUGAGACAUGCUUGGCUCUAUGAUGCCGGGAGUGAGCCUGGAACAAGUGAAGAGUGGGUCAUGGCACAAGUGAGACAGGCUUGGAGGCAAGUGCAUUCCAUCUUUGUUGGUCACUGUGUGUGACUCUCUGCUUUCCCCCUUAUUGACUUUGUGGCUUUGAGUUGGCAAUUAAGCAUAGCUUAGUCUGUUUCUUUAUUUUAAAAAUGGAAUUAUUAUUGGCAUAUAGAAAGAACUCAACGGAGUAGCUCUUCCUAAUGGCUUUAUCUCAAAGCUUCAAUUGUAUCAGGUCAAAAGAUGACCCAUUUUUUUUUUUUUGUGAGGAAGAUUAGCCUGAGGUAACAUCCAAUGCCAACCCUCCUCUUUUU